CAUGUAGGCGGUUGUUUAAGUCUGAUGUGAAAGCCCCGGGCUCAACCCAGGAAGUGCAUUGGAUACUGGACAACUUGAGUACGGGAGAGGAAAGUGGAAUUUCGAGUGUAGGGGUGAAAUCCGUAGAUAUUCGAAGGAACACCAGUGGCGAAGGCGGCUUUCUGGACCGAUACUGACGCUGAGAUGCGAAAGCGUGGGGAGCAAACA
rnacentral:rRNA from 1 species